GACGAACGCUGGCGGUGUGCCUAACACAUGCAAGUCGAACGGAACUAAUUUGACUGAUUCCUUCGGGAUGAAGAAUUUUUAGUUUAGUGGCGGACGGGUGAGUAACGCGUGAGUAACCUGCCUCUGAGAGGGGAAUAACGUUCUGAAAAGAACGCUAAUACCGCAUAACACAUACUUGCCGCAUGACAGAUAUGUCAAAGAUUUUAUCGCUCGGAGAUGGACUCGCGUCCGAUUAGUUAGUUGGUGAGGUAACGGCUCACCAAGACCGCGAUCGGUAGCCGGACUGAGAGGUUGAACGGCCACAUUGGGACUGAGACACGGCCCAG
rnacentral:rRNA from 1 species